UGCGCGCACCCUCUCAAACAUCUCCCGCCAUUCCCCAUCAGAUCUGCCCGUUAUCCUCCUGGGACUGCCACCCGCACCGCACAACCGCUCCAAUUCAACUGCCGUUCCCAAAAUUACCCCUUCCCUUCCCUUGUCAUCUCUUUCACACAUACGCAGACAACUCUUUGCUCUGUUGCGCUUGCUCCCGUCUGCCACCACCAUCCGCCCCGCCUGACCGCUUCAAUUUCACGCCUAUCAGCGACCUCCAUCUCCCUCCAGGAUUCCUGCGCCUUCUUCCCACACCCCCACCACUUGCUUUCCACAAUUACAACUCUCAGGGCCUCAACCCCUCCUUUGCUCGGAUUUCCAAAUGGAUACAUACCACUAUGCAGCCUUGUGCCUUUUUAAUCACGCUCACUUGGUUUUCUUGUGCAAUUAGGAGGUAACUUGAGCCGAAAAUUGAAGGGAUGGCAUAGUUGUGAAGAUUGAGUUAGAGUUUGCAACUAAGAAUCACUCCUUGGGCACUUCCACAUGAGGUGACAAGUUACAGCAUCUAUUUGAUGAUUUGAUGAAAACGCUCCCUAGAGGAUCAAUUGACAGAUGUUACUGUUCGCAUCGAUGGAUGUUGAUUUGGAGAGGACGUCAACAGAAAUCAUGACUACAACCUUGGAACUAUAGCAAAAUAAGACCCAACAAAUCUCGGGUUACUAUUCAAAACUAGGUCAACAUGGUCAACCAAACGACUCCGGAGCAUGACAAUUUAGGAGGUCCCAGGGUUCCCACACAGAUCACUGAGAGAAGCCGGUGAGGCCAGACAUCGCCUAAUCUUGGGUUAGCAAAAAUCAGCUCCUACAGCACUAUUCACCACCGAUUCAUCGGGCUAUCAGAAGGUUUGAAAGGCAGCUACGUGUGAAGCCAGCCCCCCGCCCCUGUAUCUUUUCUGCAUCCUAUUUUGAUUUCCCACUUCCAUAUCCAAAUCAAGAGGUAAUUUCUCCAUCCAAUUUCAUGUUGCUCCAUCGAAUUACAUCUCCAAUCUGGCGGUUAAGGUUAUUGAUAGUGCUUCCCUGUACUGGUUGAACUGAACUGCUGCUCUAUAGAUGUGUUAUUUUAUGUUGUUCUUUGUUCUGUGUUGUGCAAGUGAGCAAUUUUGCUUCUGUUGAGCGCUAUUCACAGCUUCUCCGUGUUUGCGCCAAGGAGUCUUAUGUCUAUGGUUCCACCAGUGCUUGGUCAAAUUACAUGUCGAAGCUGCCAAUGAUGGUUAUGAAUCGUGCUUGCCGUAUAGCAAAUCAAAUAUGACAUGCAUAAACAAGAGGAAGCGAUAACAUGCAAAUGAGGGGAUGGAGUAGAUGUUAGAUUAUACUGGGGUGCCCACUUUUUGACUUUGAAAAGUAAGUUUUUGUUGUAUAAUAAAUUGAGUUAAAGUUGAGUUGAAAUUUUAAAAUUCUAUUCUAAAAAA